GGGGGGCUAAGUGAAGAGGAGGAUCUUAUUGAAUGAAUGUAGAGUUGGUUGUCGCUGGCCCUUUCGGGGGUAUGUGCACGCCUUCUCUUUCAUCCACACACACCUGUGCACUUGUGAGACGGAGGGCUUUAAUUAGUCUUCCGUCUAUUCAACCACACAAACUCAUUGUAUUUAAACUGAAUGUAAUUGAUGUAACGCAUCAUUAGAACUAAGUUUCAACAACGGAUCUCUUGGCUCUCGCAUCGAUGAAGAACGCAGCGAAAUGCGAUAAGUAAUGUGAAUUGCAGAAUUCAGUGAAUCAUCGAAUCUUUGAACGCACCUUGCGCUCCUUGGUAUUCCUUGGAGCAUGCCUGUUUGAGUAUCAUGAAAUUCUCAAAGUAAAUCUUUUGUUAAUUCAACUGGUUUUGCUUUGGACUUGGAGGUCUUUGCAGAUUUCACGUCUGCUCCUCUUAAAUGCAUUAGCUGGAUCUCAGUAUAUGCUUGGUUCCCACUCGGCGUGAUAAGUAUCACUCGCUGAGGACACUGUAAAAGGUGGCCAGGAAAUACAGAUGAACCGCUUCUAAUAGUCUAUUAAGUUAGACAAUUAAUUUUAAGAUCUGAUCUCAAAUCAGGUAGGACUACCCGCUGAACUUAAGCAUAUAUGNNNGGGGAAGAAAA
rnacentral:rRNA from 1 species